UACGUAGGGUGCGAGCGUUGUCCGGAAUUAUUGGGCGUAAAGAGCUCGUAGGCGGUGUGUCGCGUCGGCCGUGAAAACCUGGGGCUCAACUCUGGGCGUGCGGUCGAUACGGGCAUCACUUGAGUUCGGCAGGGGAGACUGGAAUUCCUGGUGUAGCGGUGAAAUGCGCAGAUAUCAGGAGGGAACACCGGUGGGCGAAGGCGGGUCUCUGGGCCGAUACUGACGC
rnacentral:rRNA from 1 species